rnacentral:tRNA from 1 species
GGCAGUGUAGUGUAAUGGGUAAGGAGUUGGUCUCGUAAACGAAUGAUCGCGGGUUCGAUUCCCCGGGUCGGUACCG